GACGAAGGGGGCUAGCGUUGUUCGGAAUUACUGGGCGUAAAGCGCGUGUAGGCGGUUAUCCAAGUCGGGUGUGAAAGCCUUGAGCUCAACUCAAGAAAUGCACUCGGUACUGGGUGACUAGAGGACCGGAGAGGAUAGUGGAAUUCCCAGUGUAGUGGUGAAAUACGUAGAGAUUGGGGAAGAACACCCGUGGCGAAGGCGGCUCUCUGGGACGGUACUGACGCUGAGACGCGAAAGCGUGGGGAGCGAACAGG
rnacentral:rRNA from 1 species